UGAACGCUGGCGGCGUGCCUCAUACAUGCAAGUCGAGCGAACAGACGAGGAGCUUGCUCCUCUGACGUUAGCGGCGGACGGGUGAGUAACACGUGGAUAACCUACCUAUAAGACUGGGAUAACUUCGGGAAACCGGAGCUAAUACCGGAUAACAUGUUGAACCGCAUGGUUCAACAGUGAAAGACGGUCUUGCUGUCACUUAUAGAUGGAUCCGCGCCGCAUUAGCUAGUUGGUAAGGUAACGGCUUACCAAGGCAACGAUGCGUAGCCGACCUGAGAGGGUGAUCGGCCACACUGGAACUGAGACACGGUCCAGACUCCUACGGGAGGCAGCAGUAGGGAAUCUUCCGCAAUGGGCGAAAGCCUGACGGAGCAACGCCGCGUGAGUGAUGAAGGUCUUCGGAUCGUAAAACUCUGUUAUUAGGGAAGAACAAAUGUGUAAGUAACUAUGCACGUCUUGACGGUACCUAAUCAGAAAGCCACGGCUAACUACGUG
rnacentral:rRNA from 1 species